rnacentral:lncRNA from 1 species
GUCUUCAUUCAACCUUGCUUGACUCCCAGAGGCACUGACUGUCCCAUGGCUGGCAUGUGCAGUGCAGCUAUUUUUCACAUGGGCACAACCCAUCACCCAGCAUACCGUCAACUCCAUGGUGUCUUGGGAUUGCAACUUAUGUGAUUUUUGCCAACCCCCUUUCCUACGGCUUUACAAGAAAUAGGAUUUUAUGAUAUGCCUGUGGAAAAU